rnacentral:misc_RNA from 1 species
ACCGACGAAGGCGACUAUCAGGUCAAAUUACGCAAUCUCGUGCGUUUCUUGACCGAAGGCGAUAAGGCCAAGGUAACCGUCAGGUUCCGCGGGCGCGAAUUAAGCCAUAAAGAUUUGGGUAUGGACCUGCUCAAACGGAUCGAAACCGAUUUGGUGGAGCAUGCGGUGGUCGAGCAGUUCCCGAAAAUGGAAGGCAAGCAGUUGAGUAUGACGCUUGCGCCCAAACGCAAAAAAUAACCCGACUUCAACCUGGAGACUAUCAUGCCAAAAUUGAAAACCAAUCGCGGCGCGGCCAA